GCCCGCCUAGCUCAAUCGGAUAGAGCGUCAGACUCUUAAGGCGGGAGCUUACAAGAAAUCUGAAGGCUGCGAGUUCGACCCUCGCGGUGGGCU
rfam:Moniliophthora roreri MCA 2997 sctg_0079_0005, whole genome shotgun sequence.